GGCGCCGCUGCCGGGCCCUGCUGCAGGGGCAGCGAGCGGGGCUGGGGCCGAGCUGCCCCAGGCGGGCCGGGGAAGGAAGGCUCGUGGCUCACCCAUGAACCUGACGGCCGCCUCUCGCAGGGGCUCCUGUGGGCUGCUCAGCAGGUGCUUGAGAUCCCUCCUGUUCAGGAAUCUCACAGCAGCAAGCAGCGUUUGCCGAGAGGCCUGCAGGGCAGCAUAGAGGCAGAGAUGGCACCGCAGCCCGGGCCACAGGACCCGCAUCCCUGUGCCAAGGCCAGCAGGAGGCUGGAGCCCGUGAGGUGCCAGGGUGCUGGGGGACAGUCGAGCCCCCUCCUACGGGGACACAGUGCCCACGAGUCCUCACCUUUGCCACAGGCCCGUUCUCAUCAUGGCAAUGGAAAAAGAGUGGCAGCAGGCUCUGGCUCACAGGCCUCUUCAGGGGCUUUUUUCCCUUUGCCGCUACCAGCUUCAUCACCUCCUCAAAGAGUUGAAUGGAGAGCAGCUGGACAAGACUGUUCUCCUGUUGGAAAGGAAGCAAAAGCCCUCCACAUCAGCUGCUCCAGGCCCCCCUGUGUACAGGCCCAAAAGUCCAUGGGGCACCACACCUGCGGGCAGCAGCCAGUGCCCAUGGCUGGUGGCACAGAGCCUUACGUUGUCAAAGAGUUGCCAGAGCGCCUCAGCCACGUGCAGGGCAAUAGGGCUGGAUAUUUUGAGGUCCUUGUGCGAGAGCAGAAAGCCGAGUACAACAAGGGUCAACGAUGUCUUCGUUCACAUGCCACAGGAGGUGCCCAAGGCUUUCUGUCAGGCUACUCAAUCUUUUGCUCUGUGUGGAACACAAGGCUGGUGUCCAGCUGGGCAACCCCACGCUGCUGCUGCAGGGCCUCGAGGCCGAAGGCCUGACCCAGCUGAGCAGCAAUGCAGGAGAGCUGGGAGUAGCUGCCACAGCUACCAAAGCCCAGGCAAGUCCAAGGGGCUGCUUUCCCCAGCCCCACGCUGCCAGCACAGCUUCAGCUGCUGCCUCCUUUUCACCACUGAGGGGUCUUUGCUGAGGACCACGAGGCCUCUGAGCACCAGGCGACGCAUCUCCAUGGACUUGCUCUGCAGGUGCCUUGGCAUGAUCUCCAGGACGUUUUCAUGGCAUUCUUUCAAUUGCAGGCACUCAAGGACCUGAAAGGCACAGAGCAGUGGCAGGGGUGCCCGGCUGGCAGGAGCUGAGAAGUGCACAAGGCAGUUCUGCACCGUCCCAGGCAGCUGCAGCUGUGAGAGGGCAGAGAGGUGGGAGGCUGGCAGAGCCACCCAACCUGGUGCCCCUGAAGCUUGCCCCUGAGCCAGGUGUGAGCCCAGUGCCUCCAGAGGCAGGGAGAUGCAGAUGGAGGGAGGACAGAGAGCUAGCUGCUUGACAGGUGGCCUGGCUGCAAGCAAAGGUCAGUAGGAGAAACUCACCGGCAGGGCAAAGACUCCUGUGUUGUCCCCAUCCGAGGUGUACACACUCUCCAGUGGCCGGGGGCUCACCACUCCGAGGAGGAUCUGCAGCGCCAGCUCCGCAGUCCCGCUCGAGGUCAUGAUCGCCCUCCACAUGGCAGCGGCAGCUCUGCGGGGUCACAGCUCUGUCUCAGGGAGGUCUUGGCCACAGCACCGUGGCCUGGGCAGCUGCAGGGGCCCGCGCUGGCCGUCAGCCCUGCCUGUGCGACUGCCCCUGGCUGGCAGCACCCAGACAUGGAGAAGAGAGUGUCAGCACAGCAGCCAGGUGGUACCACGACUGACAAAAACACACAUAAAAGGUGGACCUGUGUUUUUCUGAGGAGCAGUCUGUGGUGUGAGAAAGACUCCUCUCUCCCUUGCUGAAUUGAAUAUUAGUUUUUGAGUGGUGAUUGUUGGAUUUAAAACCCAAGGUUUUGGUGCCAUAGAGGGUAACGUGUGAGGAGUAGAAAUUGGGAGGAGGAGAAGAAAUGCUCUGGGAAGGUUUGGUGUGGGUUGUUUUUGUUUUGUUUUCUUUUUUUGGGUUUUUUUUUGGAGGGGGGGUUUGGUUUUUUUGGGGGGUUUUUUUGUGUGUGUUUAAGGUGUUGGGUUUUUUUUCCUUUCCUAUUUCUGUUCUUAUGUAAUGUAAUAAAGUUAUGUCUUCUGUUUUCAAGUUUUGAGCCUGCUCUGCUCUGUCCCUGAUCACAUCCCACAGUAGUUGCUAGGAAAAACAUAUACUCAUGGGUGCAUCAACAUCUGGUCAGUGGAAACCUAUGACAGUCUUUUCCAAAUUGUUUUCCCACUGUUAUGUUCUGUCUUCUUGAAUGUUUUUUGCUUACAUGAGCUUGUUUUAUAGCAUGGAUAGACAAAAUGGAAUCUAUCAUAAAUUAUAGCAGUUACCAGUGAGAAUAAAUUAAAACUUGAAAAAUAUUCAGUGUGCUCCUGGGAACAAUUAGGAUGUGAUUCACUGUCAAAACCUGUGGAAAACAAAGUAUCAAGACUGCACUGGUAACUAAACCUUUUUUAGUACAAUUUUGAAACAGAAAUAUUCUAUUUAACGUUUCUAUUCCCUUUUCCUUUUUAUAAGGGGACAAAUACUUUCCUCUUAAAAAGAAAGACAAACAAAAAAGAAAACUCUGACUCACUGGAAACAGAUGUCAUAUCUUAAAACUCAAGUUAUUCAACUAUAGAUGACUACCUUGUUUGUAUUGUGUCCAGGGAACACAUUUUUAACUUGAUCUCUCCUCCUCUGCUUGGCUGUUACUACUAUUUGGACUAGAAAGUCUUAUAGUCUUAAAGUUUUAAUACAUUUUCUAACCCCUAAAGGCAAAAGGUCAGAUCUGGGCUGGUGCUUAUCAAUCUCUCUUGGAAUCGGUGCAAUUAAAACAGUUUGCAAUUAUACAGGAUUUGGUAUAAAGGCUAUGAUGCACGCAGUGCUGAGGUUGUAAAACAAAACCUUCUCAGGACUAGGAUAUGACUGAACUAAAAGGCUUUUAUGCUACUGAAAUGAUCCUGGAAUUCUUGCUCUAUAAGGGAUGUGCUUAAGUAUGGAACUGAAUACAAAGACUGUACUUGAAUUGAGAGGUUGGUUUUUUUGGUUUGUUUGUUUUGUUUUUUGGUUGGUUUUUUUUUUUUUUUUGAGUUAGACAUGAGGAGAACCUCACAAGCUGCAAUUUAGAAUGGUGCAUAUGCAUGUUCUUAGUGCUGUAGCAUGCAUUCUCAGGAAAAAAAUGAAAUGAGAUAGAAUAUAGAAUAUAGUGAUAUGCCACUGACAUAUAAAAAAACAGGGAAAAAAAACAGAGUAGGAAAGAGACAUGAGAUUUUUUCCUUCACACUAUUAAUUUGCAUUCAUACUUUGGAAUUCAUAUUUUAGCUGAUGCUUAGAGAGGCUACCUGGAACUGAGGCUGAACAGAGUUAAAGGAAUAAAGUAGGUGUUUAUUAAAAGGCCUUUAAAGGAUACACUUGGGGCAGUACAAGAGCCCUGCUGUGGCUCUACCCAAGAUGGACUCAAGAUGGACAACCGCUCACAAGUUUUCACACUUUUAUAAGUUUUGGUCCAUUUACAUAUUGGGGUCAAUUGUCCAGUUACAGCUCCAGGUUAUGAAGUCCCAUCCUCCCAGUUUGCUCUCCUCAAUUUGCUGUUGUCUAUUCUUGAAGCUGUUGUCUAUUCCUGAAGCUGCAAUGAUGCCCUUGGUUCUCAGGCUGGAAAAAGAUUGUUUUGUCUCUGUGAAGAGAACUUGCUAACAAUUUAUAUGAAGCUCAGUGUCACACACUAAGACAGUACAGAAUCUGGAAAAAAAUAUGAAAGCUAAAACUUAAAGCAUCAUUACCAUUGUGUCUGCCUCAGUCAGGGUUUGUACUGAAUUAUCCUUAGAUACUAAUUUAUUUCAGCUGUGUUUUUAAUAUAGUUCCAUGAUUUUUCUAUAAAAGUCUAAAGUAAAACUAAACAAGUAUUCCAAUCUUAAAAAAUACUUUAGAACAAUUACUAUAUUCUAGAAAUUUAAUUUCUUAUUUUACUGAUACUGCCUCAGAGAAACUUUCACAAUGGGUGGUGUGGAAAUGAUUGUAGAUGCCCAAUGUAAACAUAAAAUGUCAAAAGAGCAGUUCUUUCUAUAGGAGUUCCAGUGUUUUCCUGUCUCACAUGGCUGAAUUAAUUUCAGAUGUUGUCCUAGUAACUACUGUAUGUAAAUCUGUAUAUUUGCUUUAAUCUUAUGAUGGGCUGCUGGUGUGAAUGUACAUGUGGUGUGAAUGUCAACACUUUGUUUAAGGUCUGUGUGGUAUGAUGUAUUUAUCAUACUAUAUUUGGGGUAUAUGCAUGUGCCCUAACCUUUACACACAUGUACAUAUUUAGUAACGAAAACCAUGAAGCUUUUUUUCCUGUAACAUGUAAUAAGGACUACUGUGAUUUUAUGCCCAAGUUAAAAAAAAAAAAAAAAAAAAACAAAAGCAAAACACCUAUGUGCACUGGUUACUGUGGCAACCUCUUAAAAAUACCUAUAUAGUUUUAAAAAAGGACAAAGCACAAAAAAUUUUUAAGAUAUGAUUGAAAUUUUAACAAAAAUAUAAUGCUUUAAAAACAGAAUUUUUCGCAUUAUAAUGACAUGUCAAAAUUAUAUGUAGUUGUCAUGGAGGAAGCAUGAGAGAUUGAUAUGCAGAAUGUGGAGUCUUGCUUUCAAGAAGUCAGGCAGGGUCAUGAGGAAAAGGUUGUUCAGUGAGGAUGAAUGGGCACCACAGCAGCCCAGUGCUCUGGGGUCUAGUGCAGUUUGUGAGAUAUUUGGGACAAAAAAUUCAACUGGUCAUGUCCCAAAUCCUCCUGCUCUUCAGCUGAAGUCAGUUUUCUGUACAGAUCUUGGAAAGAAUUGACAAUGACAGUUUUCACAAAUGUUUCCUGACAAAAGAGCCAUUAAAUAUAUUCAAGUAUUUGGUCUGAAAGCCAUGACUGAUCCAUGUUUGAGCGAAGGACAGAGCCUUGCUCUGGAAGUCAGUGUAUUUCUUGAUUGAGUUGAGAGUGAGACACCUUUGGAAUGCUUUUCAGCCAUUAGAAACAUUAGAGUAAUUUCCAAAAGAUAUGGAGCAGUGGCUGGAGUUGGAUGAAUGAUGCAACAAUUCAGGCUAGCUCACAUUAAUAAAACUGAUCUUCUGUUUGUCAAAAUAGCUGUUGUGUGACAAUGUGAUCACAGAUACGGAGAAAAUAAUUUCCUCUGUAGCUGCUGAGGUCACUGUUAGGCUUUCUUGUAAGUUCCAUCUCACCUGUAAACAUGCAUCAGGUGAAAAUAUAAAAUAAAUUAGGAGGACUUUCAGGAGAAAUCGUUGAAUAUAGAUUUGAAAGUGCACUCCUGGAGCCCAUUAGGAAGUGACAAAAUAUGAAUUCUCCCAGCAUGUAGACUGUAAUUUUAUCCACAGUGAGGAGUGAUCCGAGCAGCCGUGUUAGCACGUUGCAAAAGUCUUGGCCAAAUCUUUAGCUUGGUUUUUGAGGUGUGUUUGCCACUGUGUUUGCAGUGGCAAAUCUUUUGAUAUCAGCUGUGCUGAAGGGCUCGACUUCUACCCAUGGCUAGAGAGUGACAUUUAAGAUGAGGUGUUUUCCUAGAAGAGCUGGGUGUUCUGUUUGACAAAAUUAUUUUCUGAAGUCACAUUACUCUUGAUAUUCAGGAGUACUACAUUUCCACCAUAAUUUAGAGUUAAUUUGUUUUCUUUGUUUUAAAAUUAAAAAGACUUUAAACGAGAUUAUUUUUGUUAUAACCUACACCAUAUAAAUGAUCUUUUCUUAUCAAAUUACUGUAGCUGUACUGACUGGGAAGUUAAACACAUGCUAUUUGCUUUUUAAGGUGUGUAGCAAGAGCAGGAUGUCUUAUGGAAUGAAGGUUGAGCUAUCCCAAACUGGGCCUCAGAUUUGGGCCUGCAAGGCCUCAGAUUUGGGCCCAUGUAGUAGUAGAUAAACCUGUGGCGCAGUUAGAAAUUCAAUUAAGGUGUGUGCAUGCUUUAGCUAGGGCAGUUAGGAUAGAAUCACGGUGGCUGCCUUAAACUGAAAUAGUUUACAUACUUCUUCAUGCUGAAUGCCAAUAGAAGUGCACCUGCAACUGUAAACUAUCUGACACUGUAUAAAACCAGCCAUUUUGAGAAUAAAGAAGAGAACGUAUAUUAUAACCACAUUGGUCGGACCUGUGUUUGCUCCGUCUCCAAUCCCAAUUAGAGUCCCUGAUUUCAGCUGGUGCCCUGAAUGUGGCAGGCAAGGACACAGGCGCCGCAGAAGAUUUUGGAAUGUAACAGGAAGGCAGCUAGGACUCUUCCUCCCCCUCAUCCACAGCCUUGUCCAUAGAGAUAAGCGAAAAAAGUCCCUCUGAGGUAUGCAACUCCCCUCUAACUUCAGUAGAUUUCCAUUCCCCUUUACUAACUACUAAGACCCACCAUCCCUUUGUGACGUAGCGAAACCCCUUUGAGUAUUUAACCCCAAGAUACAAGCUAAAAAAUCGCCAUUUUGACC